ensembl:lncRNA
CACGGAACUGCUUUUCCUUACUCCACUCAUUGAAGGCCGUCACUAGUGCCACAACCAUUACAGACAGGAGAAUGGCAGCGCCUUCGAUCCAUUCAGCCUCUGCUUCACCUUCAUUCUCCACAACGCACUGGGUGGAUGGUAAAAAGAAAGGCCAAGCGAAAUGAUGGCUGCCAUAACCAGGAUAAUGAGAGUGAUGUCCUGCAGGGCUGCCCACACCAACUCCAAAAAGUUUUUUUGGCUUCUUAGGGGGGAUAACAUUUGCUCCAAACAUCUCCAUCCUCCUUUUUGCUGUUCCUUUCCUCAGAUCGAUGGAUUUCAAUUCCAGCAGCAAGGCGUUGUCGUCUGGGCCUGUAACACUCCCGUGAAUGGGUGGAAACAUGGUGCAUGGCUUCAAACGCACUGUACUGUCCAGCAUUACUGCA